GAACAAGAAAACGAUUGGAUUGGGAGUUGCCGGGGUCCAGGUUACUUGGUGGGGAAGGUUCUUACGGGUCAGGUCGGUCAGGGGUCUGGCCAGGGCGCUAUAGUUAGGGACGAAUUUCCGAUAAUACCCUGCUGUUCCUAAAAACGCCAACACCUGAGUCUUAGUCCUAGGGGUGGGCCAUUGGGCUACGGCCUCUACUUUG